rnacentral:rRNA from 1 species
UACGGAGGGUGCAAACGUUGCUCGGAAUCACUGGGCGUAAAGCGCACGUAGGCGGUCCGAUAAGUCUGAUGUGAAAGCCCUGGGCUCAACCUAGGAAGUGCAUUCGAAACUGUCGGACUUGAGUACGGGAGAGGGUUGCGGAAUUCCCGGUGUAGAGGUGAAAUGCGUAGAUAUCCGGAGGAACACCGGUGGCGAAGGCGGCUUCCUGGACCGACACUGACGCUGAGGCGCGAAAGCUAGGGGAGCAAACGGG